CUCUCGAUAGCUCAGCUGGAAGAGCGCAAGACUGUAAUUGUACCACACCACAACGUCAUCUUGAGGUAAGCACCACACAUGCAUUCUAAAAACAGAAUGGCGCUAACCCAAUGCGGAUUAGGCCCGCGGUUCGAUCCCGCGUCGGGAGA
rnacentral:tRNA from 1 species